CCUACGUGCGGCAGCAGUGGGGAAUAUUGGACAAUGGGCGAAAGCCUGAUCCAGCCAUGCCGCGUGUGUGAAGAAGGCCUUCGGGUUGUAAAGCACUUUCAGUGGGGAAGAAAGCCUUGGGGCUAAUACCCUCGAGGAAGGACAUCACCCACAGAAGAAGCACCGGCUAACUCCGUGCCAGCAGCCGCGGUAAUACGGAGGGUGCGAGCGUUAAUCGGAAUUACUGGGCGUAAAGCGCGCGUAGGCGGUCUGAUAAGCCGGUUGUGAAAGCCCCGGGCUCAACCUGGGAACGGCAUCCGGAACUGUCAGGCUAGAGUGCAGUAGAGGAAGGUAGAAUUCCCGGUGUAGCGGUGAAAUGCGUAGAGAUCGGGAGGAAUACCAGUGGCGAAGGCGGCCUUCUGGACUGACACUGACGCUGAGGUGCGAAAGCGUGGGUAGCAAACAGGAUUAGAUACCCCGGUAGUC
rnacentral:rRNA from 1 species